CUCCCGGCCGCGGCUCCGGCUUCGGCUCCCGCACGGAGGUUCCCGGGGCGCGCCGCUCUAACGUGAAUCCGCGGCGGGAGCCGCUGGGCUGCGGGCUGCUCCCUUUGAAACGGCGGCUCCCGCUGUCGGCGUGCGCGUGGCGGCGGGGCACGGCCGCACACACCGAGCGCUGCCCGCGGCCCCUCCGCGCCUCCGGCUGCGGGCUCACGGCGGGGCGCGACCCACGGCCACGCACGCACACGCCGUCGGCCUCAGUUCGAGAGCGGCGAUAGAUGGGUGGCCUCGUGCCGAGGCACCGCGCGGCGCUAGCCCGGCCAGAUGCUUCCUCCCGUCCGACAGCGGUGCCGCCGAGGCAUCGGCUGCGGCGCAAGGCUCUCCCGAGCCAGGUGUGAGCGAGGCAAAGCCCCACUGAAGACAAUGACAGUAGUUCUGUGCUGCAUGGGGAGUUAAACACCGAGCACUGCAGCAGCGUUCGUUUGGAGCAGUGUGUUUCUUAGAGCCGGGAAGGUCUGAGUGGAGGUAAGAGUGAGAUCUACUCUUCCCUUGGCCCUUCUGCUGCAAACCACUGUGCAAAAAGGAGAGAAACAACGUUGGUAACACACCGAUGUUCACAGCGGCUGCUAAGCAGUGUUGGACAGAGCCAAGGCUGUUCUCAGCAAAGGGCCCAAGGAGCUGGGAGGGAACAGAGUGAGGACAGCUGACUUGACCUGGCCAAAGGGAUAUUCCAU
ensembl:lncRNA